rnacentral:lncRNA from 1 species
UAGUGUGAUGUGAUCUCCGAUGAGCUCCAAGUCUAUCGAGCUUUCGAGUUUACUAUAAAACAUAGAAAAGUAAACAGAGUAAGCAAUUAAGCUUAGUAAGUUCAUAUUAAACAGAAUACUACUUACCAUUAUCACAAUAUAAGUAAGUAAUCAAUUUGGCCAAAGCCUAUCACAUGAUCAUUCAACCACGUUAGACAUAUAACCACAUAUAAGUCAUGUGUGUUAGACAUUCAAUAUGAGCUCAUGUCAUGUAAUUCAGAAUCUUUUUGCCUGUUGAACUAAGUAGAGUAUCGUAGGAAAACCUAACUGUACUUUUUAGGCGUACGAAACCUUGAUCCACCAAUUCGUAUACAUUUGAUUCAUGAUGCCAUAGUGUCUUUCAACUAGGGUCUUACUCAUUGUGAAUCAUGAUGCCAUACCGUCUUUCAGAUAUGGUCUUUUACACAUUCUGAAAUGAUGCCAUGGUUUCUUUCACCCAUGGUCUUAGUCAUUUCUAAUAGAGUUCCAGGGUUUCUUUCAACCGUGGUCUUUUUCAGAGUUAUGGUGAAUCCGCAACAAAUGCAGGACUUCAACCAAAUCAAAAAUCAGAUAGCAUUUACCCUACGAAUUCUCUAAGGUUCAAACGGGACUUGUCACUUUCCAUGUUAUCAUGAAAUUAUGCAUUUGACAAUUUCAUAUAAUAAUCAAUCAAUCAUAUUCAUAUACUUAACUUUAAAGAAUAUAUUUGCAUAAUUUAACCAUACAGACUUACCUCAGAAAUGUACGACGGUAGGUAAAUCUUUACUCGACAACUUUAUCUUUUCCUCGAUCUAACCUCGUAUGUUGCUUUUCUUGUUCUAUACAAUCAAAUUUAAUCAUUUAAAACCUUAUUCAAUUCAGCUCAAUUCCGAGCUCAUGUUAUUGCAAAAUUACCAUUUUGCCCCUAUACCUUUGACUAUUUACAAAUUAAUCCGUAGGCUCGUGAAAAAUGAAAUUCAUCAAUUUUUAUCAUAAUCAAGCCUAACCGAAUGUUAUAAGCCUAAAACAGCCCAUAAAUUCACAAAUUUCAGAUUUUAACACAUACUUUUCAAAUAUCACGGUUUAACCCCUAUUCGAUACUUUUAUUGAAAAAAACCUAGUAAAGGUUGUUUAAUCGAUAUCAAAGGUUCAUUUUCAUCCAUUUAACAAAAAAAAAGCCUAUGAACACAUUCAUGGUGAAAUCCUAAACUUUCAACCAUAUUUCAAAUUAGUCCUAUCAAAAGCUAGCUUAAGCUAACAUGAGUCCAAAAACGUAAAAAUUAUCAAAAACGAGACAUAAACACAUACCUAAAUGAUGGAGAAUGUUGGCUGAAAAUUCAAAGCUCAAACCCUUAUUUUUCUUUGUGUUUCACGUAUGAAGAAGA